rnacentral:tRNA from 1 species
GGUCAUCGGGCGCCCCGCGGAGGUGCUGCUCUCCGCGACGGAGCAGGCGGAGGUCCUGGUGAUGGGAUCGCGAGGGCUCGGUGUCCUCGGUGGUUUCC